rnacentral:rRNA from 1 species
UACGAAGGGUGCGAGCGUUAUUCGGAAUUACUGGGCGUAAAGCGUGCGCAGGCGGUUGUGCAAGACAGAUGUGAAAUCCCCGGGCUUAACCUGGGAACUGCAUUUGUGACUGCACAGCUGGAGUGCGGCAGAGGGGGAUGGAAUUCCGCGUGUAGCAGUGAAAUGCGUAGAUAUGCGGAGGAACACCGAUGGCGAAGGCAAUCCCCUGGGCCUGCACUGACGCUCAUGCACGAAAGCGUGGGGAGCAAACAGG